rnacentral:rRNA from 1 species
AUGGGAAAGACUGCUCCUGCGAUUGACACAACCAAGCUGCCACAGUUACCUCAUGUUGGCCCAAAACCUCACUCAAAGGUCUUAAAGAUUGUCCUGCCAAUAGUCAUUGCAACAUUCAUCCUUAUUGCUGGAAUUAUCAUUAUUUUAUUUGCUCGAAGGAAAUUGGCAUAUAUCGAGCUACAAGAAGACUGGGAGAUCGAGUUUGGGCCACAUCGAUUCCCGUAUAAGGAUUUGUUCAUAGGCACACAAGGAUUUAAUAAUAAGAACAUACUCGGAGUAGGAGGAUUCGGAAAGGUGUAUAAAGGCAUACUUCCUACAUCUCAAUUGGAGGUUGCGGUGAAGAAAUUAUCACAUGAUUCAAAGCAGGGAACAAAGGAAUUCAUUACUAAGAUUGUUAGCAUGGGCCGCCUUCGUCACCGCAACCUCGUGCAGUUACUUGGCUAUUGCAGGGGAAAAGGUGAACUCCUUUUGGUCUAUGAUUACAUGCCAAAUGGUAGUCUUGACAAGUACCUGCACUGUGAACAAGAAAUGCCCUUACUAGAUUGGGCUAUGCGGUUUCAUAUCAUCAAAGGAGUUGCAUGUGGACUGCUCUACCUCCAUGAGAAGUGGGAUAAAGCUAUCAUCCACAGAGAUAUCAAAGCAAGCAAUGUGCUUCUUGAUAGCGAAUUAAAUGGGCGACUAGGAGAUUUUGACCUUGCAAAAUCGUAUGAUCAUGGUACUGACCCACAUACCACACGUGUGGUCGGUACCAUGGGUUACCUUGCCCCAGAACUGUUACGCACAGGCAAGCUGUCUCCUCUUAUGGAUGUUUUUGCCUUUGGCAUAUUCCUUCUUGAGGUCACCUGCGGGCAAAGGCCUGUCAAGCAGAAUGCAAAUGGCGAUCGAGUUAUGUUGGUUGACUUGGUACUUGAGAAUUGGCAGAAAGGAACAAUGGUGGAGAUGAUAGACCAGAGGCUCCAAGGCAAGUGCAAAACGGAUGAGGCAUGCCUGGUCCUGAAGCUUGGUCUAUUGUGCUCACAACCCUUUGCUAGCACAAGGCCUAGCAUGCAUCAAGUCAUGCAAUACCUCAACGGAGACGUGCCAUUAUCAGAGUUCGCACCAACCGAUAUGAGCUUCAGCAUGCAAGCCUUGAUGGAAAACAGGGGAUUCAACCCUUCUAUCGUGUCAAAUCCACAGCUCAUGACAAGCAUUGCUACAUUGUCAGGCCUCUCGGGAGGGAGAUAA